UUUUCUACAAAUCGGAAUGACCUGAAAUUUGGAGUAUGUGUUCAUCAAAAAUAGGUCAACCUAUGAAAAAUAUCAAAAAAAAUAUUUUACAUGAAAAAAUUGAUCAAAAUACCCCUAAAAAAUUACAGGGUAUUUUGGUCAUUUUUUUUUUCUCGAAUUAUUUCUUUCAUAUUUUUAUUAGGUGUGCCUCACUAAGAUGUACACACGCUCCAAAUUUCACGUCAUUCCGAUUUGUAAAAAA
rnacentral:pre_miRNA from 1 species